rnacentral:rRNA from 1 species
GAUGAACGCUGGCGGCGUGCCUAAUACAUGCAAGUCGAGCGAAUGGAUUAAGAGCUUGCUCUUAUGAAGUUAGCGGCGGACGGGUGAGUAACACGUGGGUAACCUGCCCAUAAGACUGGGAUAACUCCGGGAAACCGGGGCUAAUACCGGAUAACAUUUUGAACCGCAUGGUUCGAAAUUGAAAGGCGGCUUCGGCUGUCACUUAUGGAUGGACCCGCGUCGCAUUAGCUAGUUGGUGAGGUAACGGCUCACCAAGGCAACGAUGCGUAGCCGACCUGAGAGGGUGAUCGGCCACACUGGGACUGAGACACGGCCCAUACUCCUACGGGAGGCAGCAGUAGGGAAUCUUCCGCAAUGGACGAAAGUCUGACGGAGCAACGCCGCGGGAGUGAUGAAGGCUUUCGGGUCGUAAAACUCUGUUGUUAGGGAAGAACAAGUGCUAGUUGAAUAAGCUGGCACCUUGACGGUACCUAACCAGAAAGCCACGGCUAACUACGUGCCAGCAGCCGCGGUAA